AAAUUUACAGCCGGGCACUUCUAAAUUAUAUUUUCCUUAUAAAAUUUUUUUAAAUAAAACACAAAAACGCUGCAUGGCUUUGAAAUUCAAGGGAUGCACAAUUUGACUAGGUACCAUACCAUUCCAAGCAGCCGCAAGCGAAAGCAAAGCAGUGACAAAAAUAUAUACACUCUGUGCCUUCGCAUGACGUAGUCCGCCUAAAAAGUGAAACGGCAAGAAAAUACAAAAACAAAACAACAACAACAGCAACAGCGACGUCAACACAGACUGAAAUCUGUGAGGUGCGCGCUGUAGCACUUGACCUGCAGCUUCAAUAUGUUGAUGCGCAGUGUGUGGCUGCUGCAGCGCCGACAACCACUUUACACACGAGCCGCUCUCCUAUGGAAUCGGCAACACUUCUCCUGGUGUCAUGGCCUGCAACGCAGUGAACAUGUGACGCUUCGGUUACAGGCUCGCAGUCGUCUGGGUGGAGGCAAAACCUGUAAUGCGUCCUCCUUGCUGCUGAUGCGCUCGAGCUCCAGUGACAAGGGGGGCGGUAUAAAUGAUAAGGCUCCUGUCGAUUCAAAUGUCCGCCAAAAAAUAGAUGAAGCAGUGAACAAAUUGCCCAACGUGCAGACGAAGAACUUUGAAAUAAAAACCUCGAAGGGCAUCCUCUCAAUAACCACCACCAUUGAGGACUCGAAGAUCAAUGAGAUUGUGUUCGAAAAGGCGGACCUCCCACCGGUGGCCAAACCCGCGUUACAUGUUAUGCCAGGCAUUGAAGUCAAAUCAGCAACAAGUUCGCCUGAGUUAGUUCCAGCGCCGCCUCAACGAAAGGACGGAGGAGAUGCUCCAGCACCAGCAACGCCUGCAGUGAAACGACCGCGCUUCGAUUACCGCAUGUCGCUCGAGCGUAAUUUUGUAACGCCUGCGCGUGCCCUAUCCGACUUCAUGCUAACCCUCAAAGACUUGGAGAAACUGCCCAAGAUAAAGCGCAGAUCGCCCUACGAACAGGAGCCACCGAUGACGGUCUAUUGGCGACGCGAUGUAGAGGCCAAGGCGCUUGAAGUGUGGGGCUCAAAGGAGGGUAUUGUGCGGGAGCGACUUAGACGUGACCUAGAGCGCAAACAGUAUCAACAGAAUGUAUUCACUGUGAAGCGUCGCCUACGUGACUAUCGACGAGAAGUGGGCUCACGAACCACGACCAUGCUGGACACGGAUAUAAAUUCUGAGAAGUCCGGACAGGUAGUUGCUACAGCCAUUGCCAUCAAUGCAGCUAAUCUACUGUUUAAGACAGGCGGCUGGUUAUACUGCGGCUCGCACAGCAUGUUUGCAGAGGUCAUUCACUCACUUGCAGAUCUGGUCAAUCAACUUAUAUUGGCCUUUGGCAUCUACAAGUCGUCACAGUUGCCCGAUACGGUUCAUCCGUAUGGCUAUAUGAACAUGCGUUACGUCUCUUCCCUCAUCUCUGGUGUGGGCAUAUUUUGUGUGGGCAGCGGCUUAUCCAUUUACCAUGGCAUCGAGGGACUGCUCAAUCCGGAAGUCAUCACUGAUCUGUUUUGGGUGUAUUGUAUUCUGGCCGGCUCCCUUGUCAGUGAGGGUGCGACCCUCGUGGUUGCCAUCAAUGAAUUGAAGCGCGCCGCCAAAGAGAAUAAACUAAGCUUUAAGGAGUAUGUUCUUACCGGAAAGGAUCCUUGUGUGAAUGUGGUACUGUGUGAGGACGCAGCUGCUGUCACUGGCGUAGUCGUCGCCGCCGGCUGCAUGGGCCUGAGCAGUUUAACUGGCUCACCAAUCUUCGAUGCGAUUGGUUCUUUGGUGAUCGGAGGAUUACUGGCUGCUGUUGCUUCCUUCAUUAUUUAUACGAAUGCCAAUGCGUUGGUUGGUGUUUCCAUCUCGAUGGAUCGCCUGGAAAAGAUCAAUGCGGCACUUGAAGCUGAUGUGAUGAUACGCGCUAUAUACGAUGUCAAGGGAAUAGACAUCGGCAAUGGACGAGUGCGUUAUAAGGCUGAGCUGGAUUUUGAUGGACGAGAGCUAACACGCUCGUAUUUGGAUAAGCAGGAUUUAAAUAAGCUACUGGCGAUUGUGCGCGGAUUUCGUAAUGUGGACGAUUUGGAGGGAUUCUUGCUGGAUCAGGGCGAGAGUAUUGUAGACCUAAUGGGUGGCGAGAUUGAUCGCAUUGAAAUGAAUCUGCGCACGCAUUUUCCAGAAAUUCGACAUGUCGAUCUUGAAAUACUCUAAAGCCCUCCUUGUUGGCUGUUAACUGAAGAAUAUAUUAGUUUGGACCUGACGGCUCUCAAUCAAAAUUUCCUGUUUAACAUAUAUAUAUAUAUAUUAGGAUAUAUAUAUGUAAAUGAUAUAUAUCUAUUCGUACGUGCAUAUAUAUAUACAGUAAUUUCGGUUCUGUACUUGAGUGGACUACCGUAGUUAGAUGUUUGGUAUAUGUCUGGCUGGCUUAUUUUAUUAAUAUUAUUGUUCUCGGUUUUAGUGCAAAGAUGCAACAUUGUAUGGUAUCUUAU
rnacentral:misc_RNA from 1 species